GCCCCUGUAGCUCAAUUGGAUAGAGCGUUGCCCUCCGAAGGCAGAGGUUUCAGAUUCGAAUUCUGACAGGGGCA
rnacentral:tRNA from 1 species